AUGAACGCUGGCGGCGUGCUUAACACAUGCAAGUCGAACGAAGCUAUUCGGACGGAAGUUUUCGGACGGAAGGAAGAAUGGCUGAGUGGCGGACGGGUGAGUAACGCGUGGGUAACCUGCCUCAUACAGGGGGAUAACAGUUAGAAAUGACUGCUAAUACCGCAUAAGCCUACGGUGUCGCAUGACACAGUAGGAAAAGCUCCGGCAGUAUGAGAUGGACCCGCGUCUGAUUAGCUAGUUGGUGGGGUAACGGCCCACCAAGGCGACGAUCAGUAGCCGACCUGAGAGGGUGACCGGCCACAUUGGGACUGAGACACGGCCCAAACUCCUACGGGAGGCAGCAGUGGGGAAUAUUGCACAAUGGGCGAAAGCCUGAUGCAGCGACGCCGCGUGAAGGAAGAAGUAUUUCGGUAUGUAAACUUCUAUCAGCAGGGAAGAAAUUGACGGUACCUGACUAAGAAGCCCCGGCUAACUACGU
rnacentral:rRNA from 1 species